rnacentral:rRNA from 1 species
UAAACUGGGAUUAGAUACCCCACUAUGCUUAGCCCUAAACUUCAACUAUUAAAUAACGAAAUAGUUUGCCUGAGAACUACUGGCCACCGCUUAAAACUCAAAGGACUUGGCGGUACUUUAUAUCCAUCUAGAGGAGCCUGUUCUAUAAUCGAUAAACCCCGUUAUACCUCACCAUCCCUUGCUAAUUCAGCCUAUAUACCGCCAUCUUCAGCAAACCUUAAAAAGGAAUAAAAGUAAGCAAGAGAAUUACCAUAAAAACGUUAGGUCAAGGUGUAGCCUAUGAGAUGGGAAGUAAUGGGCUACAUUUUCUUAAAAAGAACAUUACGAUACCCUUAUUGAAACAUAAGGAAAAAGGAGGAUUUAGUAGUAAAUUAAGAAUAGAGAGCUUAAUUGAAUAGCGCAAUGAAGUACGUACACACCGCCCGUCACCCUCCUCAAAUUAAAUGAUUACAAACAUAAUAUAUAAUUUAGUAAGCAAGUUUAUGAGAGGAGAUAAGUCGUAACAAGGUAAGCAUACUGGAAAGUGA